AGGGGAUCUAGAUUCACCUACUCUUUGGACAAAACUCUCUCCCAGAGCUAUGCUGAACUUCUGGAGUGUGCAUACAGAUACAUUCACGCAGAUGAAGUUGCUUCCGACCGACACCAAACAAGUGAAAAAGAUCAGAAGAAGAAACAAAAGAAAAGUGAAGCUCCAGCCAAAUCAAGUUGGCCGACUGUCAAAAAGCGAGCUUCACUUUAACAACGGAGUCC
rnacentral:lncRNA from 1 species